rnacentral:rRNA from 1 species
CCUACGGGAGACAGCAGUGGGGAAUAUUGCUCAAUGGGGGAAACCCUGAUGCAGCGACGCCGCGUGAGUGAAGAAGUAACUCGUUAUGUUAAGCUCUAUCAGCAGGGAAGUAAAUGACGGUACGUGAGUAAGAAGCCACGGCUAACUACGUGACAGCAGCCGCGGGACUACGGAGGGGGCCAGCGUUAUCCGGAUUUACUGGGUGUAAUGGGAGCGUAGACGGGUGUGCAAGUCAGGAGUGAAAGGUGGGGGCUCAACCGUCGGACUGCUCGUGAAACUGGACGGUUGGAGUACAGGAGAGGUAAGUGGAAUUCGUGGUGUAGCGGUGAAAUGCGUAGAUAUUACGAGGAACACCGAUUGCGAAGGCAGCUUACUAAACUGUGACUGACAUUGAUGCUCGAAAGUGUGGGUAUCAAACAGGAGUAGAUACCCGAGUAGUC